rnacentral:lncRNA from 1 species
AGAACUAACUGGUGAUCUUGUAACUAAAUGUCAGUUGGGGAAACCUUUUGAUGGAUUAGGAAAACAGUGAAGAAUGAAAACAUAGACGUACUUUUUAAGAAAAGAUACUUUGGACACUUUCAUGAGCUACCUGAGGACCACACUGCCCAUUUUUAAAUAAGCAUGGUUUAUGGUCUUCGCAAGUGCAGGAUUAAGUACGUGGGGGAUGAUAAAGAUUCGAAGGAAGGGGAAAAAAUAUAGAUGAAAUCUGGAUAAACUAUUGUGGCAUGCCGGUUUAUUUUGGCUUGAAAGAGUUUGCCA